rnacentral:siRNA from 1 species
CUUCCCUCUAGACCUAGCUGC